rnacentral:lncRNA from 1 species
CCACACACCAUAUAGUGCAUUUGCCAUCAAAGCUACCUGCAUAGAAUUAGAAGAUGAACAAAGAAGUAUAGGUGUUGGCGAGAAGAUAAAACUUAUCUCAUUUGGAAGAUGUUCUGCUUAUAUAAAAAGCAUGUGGCUACAUGGUCAGCCUAUUGAUGUGAAUGGACCAAGAUGAUCAUAUGUUUUGCUCUCUGUAAGUAGUGACUUACAGGUUCAUACUUACCAACAGCAUAAACCCAUCCGAGUCCUACUUCCUUAGUUUACUAUUGUAAUCAUUAGUUUCAAUUGUCUAAAUAAAUUCCUCAUCUAAAAUAAAUUAACAGAUUUAUCCCAGGGAAAGGCAUCAUGUCAACCCUCCUUUCUAGUCAGUAAUAAGAAAUUUGUAGAAAUUAAUCGCAACACAUCAAUCAAGACUAAUCUUUUGCUCCUAAAAGUCCAAAUCAGAUCAAGGCAUUAAGCAAGACUCCAAUGGGAGGAUUGACUAAUGGUGAAAUAAAAAACCAUUCAUAAAAAUAGAAAACAACAAAUUGACACUUAUCUGAACGAUUUCAGCCACCUCCCAUCCAUCAGACCAUAUCAGCAGCUAGGAAUUACAAAUUAUGAAGCACAAACAAAAGGACAGGACACCAGUACAACAUAAUUCACAUAAAUAAAUAUGAAGGAUUAUUGGUCCAACUCAAUAUAUUACCUUGUCUGUAUGUCGACUUCGGAGUAGUGGCCUUUGGGGAUGGACAACAUGGAUGAUUGCAUGACGAGGAAGUGAGAUGACCUUGCCCUUGUUCACCAUUGCCAACCUCGCCCUCACACUGUCGAUCUAACCAACCGAUCUGCUAUCAUGAAGACAAUAGUCUAAUUUUUUUAUUAAUGUACAAAUGUAUGAUAGAUCAAUCAAACUUGAAUGUGAUGUGAACCUUGAUUGCGAUGUUUGGAGCUCUGAUUCAAUCAAUUAAUCAACGAAGUGAUAAGUCUAAACGACGUACUUGCAUCUGAAAUUUUAUAGAAGCAGAUGCAGAGGCAGUAAGACAGAGGAGAAGGGGACAACCUUUUUGGUGGUGGUCAUCAGCUACCCACCAGGGAC